GACACGGCCCUGAAAGCCCCGAGCCUGCUCGAGCUCACCAAGGGCGGCCGAGAGCGGCGGCCCACGCACCGAGCCCUGGGGCCCUGGGACACUCGGAGGUGGCAGAGAAGAGAGGGAGCCGGCAGCGGAGACUGAGGAGGGGCGGCCAGGGGUCUGGGAGGGAACCCCAAGAGUGCAGGUGCAGCGUGACCUCCUGGUACGGGAAUGAGCCGUGCACACGCGCGCGCACACACCCGGGGAGGGGUGGUCAGGGAGGAGGGAGUGAUGCGCUCCGCCGGGGGCUGCUGACGGUCAACGGUCAAGGGAGGGCAGGUCCCAGCAGGCUCGCCGUGCUUGGCAACGAGCUCCUGGAGACCCGCACGAGAGGGGUUCGGGGUGGGUGCGGGUGGCGGGGGUUCAGAGGGGAUGGGGAACUCGGGGACAGCCAGUCCGGGCCGCUCUCGGGAGGGGCUUCCCUCUGGCGCCGGAGAGGAGGGAGUGAAGUUCUGCAGCGGGAGGGGUUCAGGGUGGAGGAGAGGCUGCCCCCCCGCCCCCCCCCCGCGUUCCCAGGGGAGGGUUUGCGGCUCCUCCCCGCACGUGCCCGGGGCUGGGGGGGCGGCCAGAGAGGAAGGGGGGCGCUGAGGCGCGAGGGAGGGAAGAGCUCAAGCUGAGGAGGGGGGCUUUGCCUGGAGGGCCCAGCUCCGGGGGGGACCCUCCUCCCCCAGGUUCUCAGCGCCCUGGAGCGAGAUGCCUCUUGUCGGAAGCAUAAGUUGCGACAGAAACUGGAACAGAUCAUCAGCCUCGUGUCCAGCAACCCCUAAGGGUGGCGGAACCGAUUUCCGAGUGUUCUCUCCUGAAAGAGGUGUUGGAUUUUGUCAAAUGCUUUUUCCAUCAAGAAUUUUUGGAUCCACAUUCAUAAGGGAUAUUGGUCUGGUUUUCCUGUGAUGUCUUUGUCUUGCUCUGGUAUCAAGGUGAUGCUCAUGGAAUGAAGAACUUGAAGAGCUCUGAUGUGGGCUGAGAGGGGAGAAAUGAUGCUCAGCGUGAUGGUGGCGGUCAUGAUGGUGAUGACGAUGGAGUUAAUGAAAAUGAUGGAGAACCUCACCUGACUAGAUGCAGCAGCUGUAGCGCCUACAGCGAGGAUCUGUUUCUCUCUUUCCGUCUGUGUCUCUCUGACUUUGUCUCAUUCUCUCCCUCCUUUUUUUUUCUUUCAUUCCCUUCUUUCCUUUCUUUCUUUCAUCAUUUUUAGACAUUCCUUAUCGAUGGAGAGAUGAAAACUUAGCUCCCGUACUCCACUACUUACUACACUUCUUCUUCACCUUAUGCUCUCUUAUUACAGAAAACUAAAUUUCCGAAAGAAUCAAAGUUUAAAUGGGGGGAGAUGAAAGCAUACAAUUAAAUGGAAAAUAUGAAACCAUGAAAAUGGAAGGAGAAAACACUGAUGAAGGAUUUUAACGUACCAUACAAAACCCAGAAGCCAUGAAUGAGUAAAAAUUGUUCAAUAUCUGAUUAUAAAGAAAUGUUAAAUUUAUUUAUUAUGGCAGAAAAUAUCACU